AGGCUUCAGCAGGAUUUUGAGUUCAAAUUGAUGUUUAGGGACAAGGGGUCAAGGUAUGGAGAGGAAAUAACCAUGUUUCCUAACCCAUAAAACAAGACUGGUGACACAGGAUGCUGAAAGCAUUCAUUAUAGUUCAUAAUACUCUUUGAAGUUGAAGAUGCUGGCAAGAACCCAGAAAAGCCAUCGAGAAGGACUGUGAAUGCUGAAUGGGGGUGAAAAAUGGGGAAGGCUCAAAUGAUCUUUAUGCUUGAUAUACUCAUUCCCCUCACCCUCCCUUCCUUUAGGAAGUCAAAGUGGUGCCGCCCUACAUCUCUCAAUGUGGUUCGAAUAAUUACAUCAGAGCUCUAUCGAUCACUGGGAGAUGUCCUCCGUGAUGUUGAUGCCAAGGCUUUGGUGCGCUCUGACUUUCUUCUGGUGUAUGGGGAUGUCAUCUCAAACAUCAAUAUCACCAGAGCCCUUGAGGAACACAGGUUGAGACGGAAGCUAGAAAAAAAUGUUUCUGUGAUGACGAUGAUCUUCAAGGAGUCAUCCCCCAGCCACCCAACUCGUUGCCACGAAGACAAUGUGGUAGUGGCUGUGGAUAGUACCACAAACAGGGUUCUCCAUUUUCAGAAGACCCAGGGUCUCCGGCGUUUUGCAUUUCCUCUGAGCCUGUUUCAGGGCAGUAGUGAUGGAGUGGAGGUUCGAUAUGAUUUACUGGAUUGUCAUAUCAGCAUCUGUUCUCCUCAGGUGGCACAACUCUUUACAGACAACUUUGACUACCAAACUCGAGAUGACUUUGUGCGAGGUCUCUUAGUGAAUGAG
rnacentral:sRNA from 1 species